rnacentral:lncRNA from 1 species
UUUUGGUUCAAAAGUUCUUUCAAACUUCAAAUCCCUUCGGUGACUUUAGAGUGCUGCUCAGCAAAGUCGGCCUUUAUCUUUGUAAUCUUCUUCUCUAAUUGUCUUGCUUCAGCUUUCGUAACUGUUAAUUCGGCAGUUACUAUUUUAAGUUACUGCUGAAGCAUCUCCUUCUUCUUUUCUUAUUCCUCUUUCUCUAGCUGGAGACUAGCAAAUUGUUCCUUCAAAUUAUCCACUUCCAAAGAUAAGUUUGCCGCAAGCUGCUCAUUUCAAGCAAGUCUUUUCAUCAAAUUUGUGCCAGUUAAAUUUAUUUGAAAAUAAAAGAAAGUUAGGAAAACAAAUAAGGGAAAGAAAAGAAAGAAGUAAAAAAGAAAUAGAGUAUACCCGAAGGGUAGAAUGCACGAUAUCAUUGGCUAGAGUGAUGUCAGAAUAGGACUCAAACUUCUAUUUCUCGAGUGACUCAAUAAGAAGCUUCAAACAAACAGAAGUCCGGUCAGGUCUUUUCAGCAAGUUAAUAUUAGUCGGGACUUCUACCAUCACCUACCGCAUUUUCCUUACAUCAAAAGGACUAGCUUCAAUCUAAGCAGGUACGAACGGAGUCGAAGCUGGAGCAGUGGGAGGAAGACUUUCAUUGGCAAAGUCAAUAAAAUGGUCUUCACCUCUAUGGCUACCAAACCAUUUGGUCAAGCAGCUCAUCAACAGAGUCGGUAGCAGGAGCCACGAGCGGCUCAGUAAUUUCACCAUCUGAAAUGACCAUUGUUAGAGCCUGCUCCGGGUUUUCAACAAGAUGAAAUAGGUCAGUCUCCAAGAGUGAAGAUUGGGGACUACUCUGAUCAUCCUCUAAAACAACUUGCCUCCUAGUUCGAGGCUUCUUCACAAGAGAAUCUCCGUUCUCAUCAUCUUCUUCCUCAUCAGAGGCGAGAAACUCUUUGUCUUUCCUAUUCGAAUAGGACAAACUUAAAUAGCAUGUGCCGUAUCGACAUUAAGUUCAACAAUAGGAUCAGGAGAGGGACGAACACCACGAAUCCAAAAUCCUAUAGAAAGGAAUAUUUUAAAAAAUGACGAGAACGGAAAGAUAAUACAUACGGUACAAAAAAGUAACUAAUCGAGGGUUUUUUAUUUUUAUCCAAAUUUCUUGGAGCAAAAAUUCCAAGUUCUUUGGUCCAUGGGAGCAGACAACAACAUUAGAGCAACCCAUUCACAAAAGUAUGGAAUCUCACCAAUAACUUCCAUGGUAGCUAUGAAACAAUAUGUAAAAGGGAAAAAGUGAGACAAUGAAACGGAAUUGAGGAGCAGAGGCAUGCACUUACAUUUAAAGUUCCUUUUCUCAGAGAAGGGAAUAUUCUCCUCUCCCACCAACUCAUGAGUUAGAACAGCCAUAUACUGGUUGUACCACCAUCUGU